AACGAACGCUGGCGGCAUGCCUAACACAUGCAAGUCGAACGAAGGCUUCGGCCUUAGUGGCGCACGGGUGCGUAACGCGUGGGAAUCUGCCCUUUGGUUCGGAAUAACAGCUGGAAACGGCUGCUAAUACCGGAUGAAGACGAAAGUCCAAAGAUUUAUCGCCAGAGGAUGAGCCCGCGUUGGAUUAGGUAGUUGGUGGGGUAAAGGCCUACCAAGCCGACGAUCCAUAGCUGGUCUGAGAGGAUGAUCAGCCACACUGGGACUGAGACACGGCCCAGACUCCUACGGGAGGCAGCAGUGGGGAAUAUUGGACAAUGGGCGCAAGCCUGAUCCAGCAAUGCCGCGUGAGUGAUGAAGGCCCUAGGGUUGUAAAGCUCUUUUACCCGGGAAGAUAAUGACUGUACCGGGAGAAUAAGCCCCGGCUAACUCCGUG
rnacentral:rRNA from 1 species